UGUCUUGGGCUGCACACGUGCUACAAUGGCCGGUACAAAGAGCAGCGAUACCGUGAGGUGGAGCGAAUCUCAAAAAGCCGGUCUCAGUUCGGAUUGGGGUCUGCAACUCGACCCCAUGAAGUCGGAGUUGCUAGUAAUCGCAGAUCAGCAUUGCUGCGGUGAAUACGUUCCCGGGCCUUGUACACACCGCCCGUCACGUCACGAAAGUCGGUAACACCCGAAGCCGGUGGCCCAACCCCUUGUGGGAGGGAGCUGUCGAAGGUGGGACUGGCGAUUGGGACGAAGUCGUAACAAGGUAGCCGUACCGGAAGGUGCGGCUGGAUCACCUCCUUUCUAAGGAGCACAGUACCGAUUGCAGGCAAAUGUUCUGCACGGUCAGCUCAUGGGUGGAACGUUGACUAUUCGGCACACUCGGUCUUCUCCUGACCCUGCUAGUACUGCUUCGGCGUGGAACACAGGACAAGAGAACCGGGAGUGUCGGGCACGCUGUUGGGUGUCUGAGGGCACGGCCGCAAGGCCUGUCUUCGGGAUGCCGGCCCCAGUGAACUCCGAGUGUGACUCGGGGGUGAUGGGUGGCUGGUCGUUGUUUGAGAACUGCACAGUGGACGCGAGCAUCUGUGGCCAAGUUUUUAAGGGCGC
rnacentral:sRNA from 1 species